rnacentral:misc_RNA from 1 species
GAAGGAAAUAACAAUUUAAUAGGAAAAUAAAUUGAUGGGGCAACUUUGGGAUUCUCCUAGUUGAAGAUGCGGCAACUUUGGGAUUCUCCUAGCUGUGGGUCCUUCUUUGUUUAACUUUUCCCAACAAACUCGUCCAUAACACCUCUUCAAGCUUCCAACUAAGCUUCAUGGGCAUCAGAACCAAUUUUGUCCUGCCUCUUGCUUCAUCAGGUCAAUUUUUGAGUUAAA